GGCAGCACCGGGAGAGCGACCUGGUAGCUGGCAGAAAUAGCUCCCUUGGCACGAGCGAUUGCCAUGGGGAGUUUUCUGCGCUCUUCAAAUCUCUGAAAAGAGUUAGUGCAUUUGCGACAAGCGCCUGUAUAGCGGCGAACUUGUUUAAGCGGAUACCGCAUCGCUCGGGGCGAACAUGUUUCUCCUCGCGGUUCCGUAGUCCCG
rnacentral:ncRNA from 2 species